rnacentral:tRNA from 1 species
GUCCCUGUAGUUCAACGGAUAGAAUAAUUCCGUCCUAAGGAGGAGAUGUUGGUUCGAUUCCAGCCAGGGAUACCA